rnacentral:rRNA from 1 species
AGAGUUUGAUCCUGGCUCAGGAUGAACGCUGGCGGCGUGCCUAAUACAUGCAAGUCGAACGAAUCUUCUUCGGAAGAUGAGUGGCGAACGGGUGAGUAAUACAUAGGUAACCUGCCCCUGUGCGGGGGAUAACAGGAGGAAACUCCUGCUAAUACCGCAUAGCCAUGAGCACCGCAUGGAGCUCAUGCCAAAUAUCCUUUAUGGGAUAGCGCAGGGAUGGACCUAUGGCGCAUUAGCUUGUUGGCGGGGCAACGGCCCACCAAGGCAACGAUGCGUAGCCGGCCUGAGAGGGCGGACGGCCACAUUGGGACUGAGACACGGCCCAGACUCCUACGGGAGGCAGCAGUAGGGAAUUUUCGGCAAUGGGGGAAACCCUGACCGAGCAACGCCGCGUGAGCGAAGAAGGCCUUCGGGUCGUAAAGCUCUGUUGUAAAGGAAGAACGUCGCAUGCAGGAAAUGGUGUGCGAGUGACGGUACUUUACCAGAAAGCCACGGCUAACUACGUGCCAGCAGCCGCGGUAAUACGUAGGUGGCGAGCGUUAUCCGGAAUCAUUGGGCGUAAAGAGGGAGCAGGCGGCCGCAAGGGUCUGUGGUGAAAGACCGAAGCUAAACUUCGGUGAGCCAUGGAAACCGGGCGGCUAGAGUGCGGAAGAGGAUCGUGGAAUUCCAUGUGUAGCGGUGAAAUGCGUAGAUAUAUGGAGGAACACCAGUGGCGAAGGCGACGGUCUGGGCCGCAACUGACGCUCAUUCCCGAAAGCGUGGGGAGCAAAUAGGAUUAGAUACCCUAGUAGUCCACGCCGUAAACGAUG